rnacentral:rRNA from 1 species
UACGUAGGGGGCAAGCGUUGUCCGGAAUCAUUGGGCGUAAAGAGCGCGUAGGCGGCCCUGUAAGUCCGCUGUGAAAGUCAAGGGCUCAACCCUUGGAUGCCGGUGGAUACUGCAGGGCUAGAGUCCGGAAGAGGCGAGUGGAAUUCCUGGUGUAGCGGUGAAAUGCGCAGAUAUCAGGAGGAACACCGAUGGCGAAGGCAGCUCGCUGGGACGGUACUGACGGCUGAGACGCGAAAGCGUGGGGAGCGAACAGG